UUCCCUUAGUAACGGCGAGUGAACCGGGAUGAGCUCAAAUUUAAAAUCUGGCGUCUUUCAGGCGUCCGAGUUGUAAUCUAUAGAGGCGUUUUCCGCGCCGGACCGCGUCCAAGUCUCUUGGAAUAGAGUAUCAAAGAGGGUGACAAUCCCGUACUUGACGCGACAACCGGUGCUCUGUGAUACGUUCUCAAUGAGUCGAGUUGUUUGGGAAUGCAGCUCUAAAUGGGUGGUAAAUUCCAUCUAAGGCUAAAUAUUGGCGAGAGACCGAUAGCGAACAAGUACCGUGAGGGAAAGAUGAAAAGCACUUUGGAAAGAGAGUUAAACAGCACGUGAAAUUGUUAAAAGGGAAACGAUUGAAGUCAGUCGUGUGAAAGGUAUUCAGCCGUCUCUGGCGGUGUAUUUGCCUUUCACGGGUCAACAUCAGUUUGAUCCGGUAGAAAAAGGCGGGAGGAAGGUGGCACCCUCGGGUGUGUUAUAGCCUCCUGUCAUAUGUGCCGGACCAGACUGAGGAACGCAGCUUGCCGCAAGGCCGGGGUUCGCCCACGUACAAGCUUAGGA
rnacentral:rRNA from 1 species